UAAUCUCUCUGUGUCACUAUCCCUCUUUCUCCCAGUUACGACCGCAGCUGUUCCCAGCAUCCACCCCCGCUUUCCCGUGGUGUUGCCCCCCCGCUCUCCCUGGCUCUCCCCCGCUCCCUGGCUCCAGAGGACAGCCGGCAGACGCUGCACUCCUCCUCCUCCUCCUCCACCAACAGGGAGAGGAUCCCAGUUGUGAACCUCUGAGGUGACUGUUUCUCCAUAUGGUAAACAUAUCUACGGGGCCCGAGGAGGAGCCUCAAUCCGACCGGAGGGUGUGCCCGCAGCGCCGUUUUAUUUUCUCUGAAACUGUGAAUUGAAUCCAGGGGUCCCAGGUAUCCAGCCUUCACAAAACUCCUCCACUUCCCCGAGGUCUAAAAGCCCCAAACUCAUCUCCCCGCUGCCUCCAUCCUUUGUACGGUUUAAAUGUUCUUUCAUGUGGAUCUGCGUCACUGUUACCUGUUUUCCAUCCAUAGCCUUGAGCUCUUCUCCUCGGCCCGCCAUGACUAAUUCACAAACAAUCAGUUUAACAGACGCUCGACAUCCCAUUGCCCCUGAAAUGCCCUACCUGUGCUUCCACAGCUGACCCCACAUGCACUUGUAAAGCCGACCAGUGUCCCUUUGAAUCCAGCAGACUGUUCUUUCAUCAUUACAUGUCACUUGUUUGACGCUGUUAUCCAAAGCGACUAACAUACUGUGGCCAAUCCCCACAGGAGCAAUUUGGGGUGAAGUGUCUUGCCCAGGGACACAACGACAUGCUGACUGCAGUGGGGUUUGAACCUGUGACCCGGACAACCCACUACGCCACCACUCAUCAAAUGACACUUCAAUUCAGUUGAAUCUGGUUUGCAAAUGGUUAAAAAAAGAAACCAUUCUCAGCAUCUCCAAACACUGAAUGGGGUAUUUCACAAAGCCGUUUGGCAGGGCCGUAGCCAACAGGCAAUGUGUUUAACAUGUCACGCUUCAAAAACUGCUGUUUAUUCCCUGCUUUGGGCGCCUGAAAUGCAAAUAGUGUUUUUUUUUGUUUUUUCCUCUGUAGUGUAGCGGGAGUCGGUUUUUGUUUCGGCUUUUUCCUCAUGAUUUGUUUCCUUAAUUAUCCGGCUGACGUUCACCUCUUUGUGAGCACCCUCUGUUCCUGCUGGACUGUGUUAGGGCUGUUUUAAGCAUCGAGUACUUCCAGUGGACGAGAUAAAAUAUUCAGAGUGGAUAGAGGAGGCAAAAGUGUUGAAAAUCAAUGAUUCCCAACGGGUUUUUUUGGAUGGCGCACAACAAAGACAGAUUCACGUGUGAACUGUGCGCGUGAUCAGAGGACGGAUGUUACCACGACGAGGGUUUCUCUCUCCAUCUGAAAGCCAAGUAUAUCAAUCUGGAAAAACAAACCCCACCGUAAUUUCCUCUCAUAUCACAUUUCAAGUCGCCGUAUAUCAACUGUCUUGGGAGCACCAAAGGAAAGUUGUACAUCAAGGCACAUCAUCUCUGUCUCUCCGAUGAUUCUGCAUGUAUACAGUAAGAAAACCCGUGAGAGUAGCAGCAAAUCCAUUAUUUAUAAAUGUCUAUUUUAUCUAUCAGUGAGUGACGUCUUCUAGAGCCUUUCAAAGCCAAAUGUCAGUUUGUGUUUGGCAACUUUUCUAAACAGCUUUGAAUCCCGUCUUAACGUUUCCACUUCAGACACAGUAGUGCUGGUGGCAUCAUGCGUGCAAUCCUCCAGAUAACGAGUCUUGUGAUUUUUAGUAGCAUUCCUGUAGAAAAUGUGGUCUUUCUGUACCAUGGAAGUUCAAUAAAGACACAACACUGGCGUUUUA